AUACGAAGGGAGCUAGCGUUGUUCGGAAUUACUGGGCGUAAAGCGCACGUAGGCGGCUUGUUAAGUCGGAUGUGAAAGCCCCGGGCUCAACCUGGGAACUGCAUUCGAUACUGGCAGGCUAGAGUAUAGUAGAGGCAAGUGGAAUUCCGGGUGUAGCGGUGAAAUGCGUAGAUAUCCGGAGGAACAUCAGUGGCGAAGGCGACUUGCUGGACUAAUACUGACGCUGAGGAGCGAAAGCGUGGGGAGCAAACGGGAUUAGAAACCCGAGUAGUCC
rnacentral:rRNA from 1 species